GUAGGGAAUAUUGGGCAAUGGCCGAGAGGCUGACCCAGCCAUGCCGCGUGCAGGAAGAAGGCCUUCUGGGUUGUAAACUGCUUUUAUCAGGGAAGAAAACGCUCUUGCGAGAGUAACUGACGGUACCUGAUGAAUAAGCACCGGCUAACUCCGUGCCAGCAGCCGCGGUAAUACGGAGGGUGCAAGCGUUGUCCGGAUUUAUUGGGUUUAAAGGGUGCGUAGGCGGCCCGUUAAGUCAGCGGUGAAAUCCCAGGGCUCAACCCUGGAACUGCCGUUGAUACUGGCGGGCUUGAGUUCGGUCGAGGCGGGCGGAACUGGUGGUGUAGCGGUGAAAUGCAUAGAUACCACCAAGAACCCCGAUUGCGUAGGCAGCUCGCUAGGCCGAAACUGACGCUGAGGCACGAAAGCGUGGGGAGCGAACAGGAUUAGAAACCCUAGUAGUCC
rnacentral:rRNA from 1 species